ACGAACCGUGCAAACGUUGUUCGGAAUCACUGGGCUUAAAGGGCGCGUAGGCGGGUGGUCAAGUCAGGGGUGAAAUCCUCCAGCUUAACUGGAGAACAGCUUUUGAUACUGGCCGUCUUGAGGGGGGUAGGGGCAUGUGGAACUUCCGGUGGAGCGGUGAAAUGCGUAGAUAUCGGAAGGAACGCCGGUGGCGAAAGCGACGUGCUGGACCCUUUCUGACGCUGAGGCGCGAAAGCCAGGGGAGCAAACGGG
rnacentral:rRNA from 1 species